rnacentral:rRNA from 1 species
CUAAGGAUGAGACUGCUGCCGAUCAGGCUGUUGGUGGGGUAACGGCCCACCAAACCUAUAACCGGUACGGGCCCUGAAAGGGGGAGCCCGGAGAUGGGAACUGAGACAAGGUCCCAGGCCCUACGGGGCGCACCACGGCGCGAAACCUCCGCAAUGCGCGAAAGCGUGACGGGGUUACCCCGAGUGCCGUCCGUUGAGGAUGGCUUUUCCCCAGUGUAAGGAGCAGGGGGAAUAAAGGGGGGGCAAGUCUGGUGUCAGCCGCCGCGGUAAUACCAGCCCCCUGAGUGAUAGGGACGAUUAUUUAGCCUAAAGCGUCCGUAGCCGGCUUAGCAAGUCUCUCCCGUCACAAUCCUGACGACUCAAUCCGCCAGGNCCGNCGGAAGAUACUGCUAGGCUAGAGGGCGGGAGAGGUUGACGGUAGUCCCCNGAGUAGGGGUGAAAUCCUAUAAUCCCGGGGAGGACCACCAGUGGCGAANGCGGUCGACUAGAACGCGNNUGACGGUGAUGGACGAANGCUGGGGGAGCGAAUNGGAUUAAACCCCCGAGUAGUNCCAGCUGUAAACGAUGCNGGGCUAGGUG